AGGGUUCGAUUCUGGCUCAGGAUGAACGCUAGCUACAGGCUUAACACAUGCAAGUCGAGGGGCAGCAUGAAGUUUGCUUGCAAACUUUGAUGGCGACCGGCGCACGGGUGAGUAACGCGUAUCCAACCUUCCCUAUACUAGAGGAUAGCCCGGCGAAAGUCGGAUUAAUACUCUAUAUUCUUCGUAGAAGACAUCUGAAAUGAAGCAAAGGUUUACCGGUAUAGGAUGGGGAUGCGUCUGAUUAGGUUGUUGGCGGGGUAACGGCCCACCAAGCCCACGAUCAGUAGGGGUUCUGAGAGGAAGGUCCCCCACAUUGGAACUGAGACACGGUCCAAACUCCUACGGGAGGCAGCAGUGAGGAAUAUUGGUCAAUGGACGAGAGUCUGAACCAGCCAAGUAAGCGUGCAGGAUGACGGCCCUAUGGGUUGUAAACUGCUUUUAUACAGGGAUAAAGUGACGUACGUGUACGUUUUUGUAGGUACUGUAUGAAUAAGGACCGGCUAAUUCCGUGCCAGCCGCCGC
rnacentral:rRNA from 1 species